rnacentral:rRNA from 1 species
UACGAAGGGGGCUAGCGUUGCUCGGAAUCACUGGGCGUAAAGGGUGCGUAGGCGGGUCUUUAAGUCAGGGGUGAAAUCCUGGAGCUCAACUCCAGAACUGCCUUUGAUACUGAGGAUCUUGAGUUCGGGAGAGGUGAGUGGAACUGCGAGUGUAGAAGGUGAAAUUCGUAGAUAUUCGCAAGAACACCAGUGGCGAAGGCGGCUCACUGGCCCGAUACUGACGCUGAGGCA